AUUGAACGCUGGCGGCAGGCCUAACACAUGCAAGUCGAACGAGUGGCGGACGGGUGAGUAAUGUCUGGGAAAAUGCCUGAUGGAGGGGGAUAACUACUGGAAACGGUAGCUAAUACCGCAUACCAUCAGAUGUGCCCAGAUGGGAUUAGCUAGUUGGUGGGGUAACGGCUCACCAAGGCGACGAUCCCUAGCUGGGUUGAGAGGAUGACCAGCCACAUUGUGACUGAGACACGGCCCAGACUCCUACGGGAGGCAGCAGUGGGGAAUAUUGCACAAUGGGCGCAAGCCUGAUGCAGCCAUGCCGCGUGUAUGAAGAAGGCUUUCGGGUUGUAAAGUACUUUCGUCGGGGAGGCGUUACCCGCAGAAGAAGCACCGGCUAACUCCGUGCCAGCAGCCGCGGUAAUAC
rnacentral:rRNA from 1 species